AAUAUAUAAAUUUACUUUUAUUAAUUUUUAAUUGAAUAAUUAAUUGUUAUUGUAUUUAUUUAUGAAGUAAUUUAUUUUGUUAUAGUUAAUUUGUACCGUGAGGGAAUAUUUGAAAUAUUUUUUAUAUUUUAUAAAGUUGAUUUAAGUUAUUGUACCUUGUGUAUCAGGGUUUAUUAAUAUUUAAUAUUUAUAUUUAUUUUUCCCGAUAUUAGGAGAGUUAAAUUAUUAUUUUAGUUAAUGUUGAAUAAUUAUUAAUAACAAUAAUUUAGUGGUGAAAUGUCAUUCGGUCUUAAAUAUUUCUGGUUUUUUAAGAAAUGAAUUUAAUUCAGAUAUUUUCUUUGUAUUUUUAAUUUGUUAAUUUUUACUUAGUUAAUAUUAAUAUCUUGGGGGAUAAGCUUUAAGGUAAAUAUUUAUAAAUAUUUGAUUUUGUUAAGUAUUUUGGAUUUGGGGUUGAUUAUAAAUUAGAGGAUGUUGUAAUUUGACUUAUUUAUUAUUAUAUUUAUAUUAUAUUUUGGAUUUAUUAUUGGAAAUUUUUAAUUAAUUAUUUGUUAAUAGUUAUUAUGAUAAAAUUAGUAUAAUUUGAUAAUAUAACUGAUUAAUUUUUGUUAAUAAAUAAUUAGGAAUUAGGCAAAUAUUAUGUUCGCCUGUUUAACAAAAACAUCUCUUUUUGUAUGUGUAAGAGGUAUAACCUGCCCACUGACAAUUUGUUGAAGGGCCGCGGUAAUUUGACCGUGCAAAGGUAGCAUAAUCAUUAGUCUUUUAAUUAAAGGCUGGAAUGAAUGGUUGGACGAAACAUAAACUGUCUUAUUGUUUAUAUUAAAAUUUAAUUAUUAAGUAAGAAAGCUUAAAUUUAUUUAUGGGACGAGAAGACCCUAUAGAGUUUAAUAAUUUAUUUUGUGAUUAUGUUUGUUUACUAUUCUAUAAAAUUAAUUAUUUUGUUGGGGUGAUGGGGAGAUAAAUUGAACUCUUUUUAUUGUUGUAUAUUGAUUUAUAUACUUUUGAUCCAUUUUUUGUGAUUAUAAGACUAAAUUACCUUAGGGAUAACAGCGUAAUCUUUUUUGAGAGUUCAAAUCGACAAGAAGGGUUGCGACCUCGAUGUUGGAUUAAGAUAAACAUUAGGUGUAGAAGUUUAAAAUGUUAGGUCUGUUCGACCUUUAAAAUCUUACAUGAUCUGAGUUCAAACCGGCGUGAGCCAGGUUGGUUUCUAUCUAUAAAAGUGUUUAGAGUUUUAGUACGAAAGGACCAAAUUCUGGGAAUAAUUUUAUUUUAUUGAUUAUUAUUAAGU
rnacentral:rRNA from 1 species